UUGAUCCUGGCUCAGAAUCAACGCUGGCGGCGCGCCUAACACAUGCAAGUCGAACGAGAAAGCAGGAGCAAUCUUGUGAGUAAAGUGGCGUACGGGUGAUUAACACGUGGAUUAUCUACCUUCUAGUGGGGGAUAACCCUGGGAAACCGUGGCUAAUACCGCAUAAGCUCGAGAGAGGAAAGCAGCAAUGCGCUGGAAGUGGAGUCCGCGGCCGAUUAUGCUAGUUGGUAGGGUAAAAGCCUACCAAGGUUAAGAUCGGUAGCCGGCCUGAGAGGGCACACGGCCACACUGGCACUGAAUCACGGGCCAGACUCCUACGGGAGGCAGCAGUGGGGAAUCUUGCACAAUGUGGGCAACCCUGAUGCAGCGACGCCGCGUGAGCGAUGAAGCCCUUCGGGGUGUAAAGCUCUUUCGGCAGGGAAGAUUAUGACGGUACCUGCAGAAGCAGCUGCGGCUAACUACGUGCCAGCAGCCGCGGUAAUU
rnacentral:rRNA from 1 species